CCCAGAAGGACAUGGCGGAAGAAAACUACCAAGACGUCCCAUCUGUAUCUACUAUUUCCUCCAACCAAUUUGUAUUUUGUACCACAACCCUAUUUGUGGGAACAAUGGGUUAACAUACCAGAAUGAAUGUGAGCUGUGCCUUUUCUGCAGGAGAUACAACAAGGACAUCAGAAUUGUCAAGGAUGGACCAUGUUAAAUAUGGAAGAUACUUCCUUGUUUCAAUUUCACGAUGCUUGCAAAACCAUUUAAAAUGCACAAAGCCAC